rnacentral:lncRNA from 1 species
GUGGUCAGGUUGGCAGGCCAAAGGCGGGCCUGAUCAUUUAUUGGUCUGAUUCACCAAAUCAAGUCAUGUUAAUGGUUGGACCUAACCAGAUCUUUUCAGUGGAGGCCAAAGCCUACUGAUUAGGUUCUGGGGCAAAAUUAAUUACUAGAAGUUGUUUAGAGAAAUAACUGGUUAUGAACCUACCCAUAGAUGCACAUGGAUUGACCAACCAAAGUUGGGCUCGUGUG